CCUUUUCCUCAGCUGCCGCCAAGGUGCUCGGUUCUUCCGAGGAAGCUAAGGCCGCGUUGGGGUGAGGCCCUCACUUCAUCCGGCGACUAGCACCGCGUCCGGCAGCGCCAGCCCUACACUCGCCCACGCCAUGGCCUCUGUCUCCGAGCUCGCCUGCAUCUACUCGGCCCUCAUUCUGCACGACGAUGAGGUGACAGUCACGGAGGAUAAGAUCAAUGCCCUCAUAAAAGCAGCCGGUGUAAAUGUUGAACCUUUUUGGCCUGGCUUGUUUGCAAAGGUAAGGUGAUGGUGGCAAAGUGAUGUGGUAAGGCCUGCUGAUUUACGAGGGCAGGUGUACAUGCUAAAGUACCCCCAGCGGUGCCAUAACGCCCCACAUGCCGCUGGAUCUCCUAGGUGUUUUUCGUUGCAUGUAUAUCUCUAGGAGCUAAUAAGUUUCAGCUUGUCAAGUCUUAUGUUUCCUUAUCAGAUUCUGGUUUCCCUUUUGCUCUGAAACCAUGGUUAAAAAAAAAUCUGAAUCAGGUCAUUUAUUCCCAAAAAGGGUCACCCGGGAGAUAGGUACUACCCAUAUUAAGUUGCAAGCAAAUUCUUUUUCUUUUUUUUUGGAGACGGUGUCACCCAGGCUGGAGUGCAGCGGCGCGAUCUCAGCUCACUGCAAGCUCCGCCUCCUGGGUUCACGCCAUUAUCCUGCCUCAGCCUCCCGAGUAGUUGGGACUACAGGCGCGCGCCACCAAGCCUGGCUCAUUUUUGUGUGUGUUUUUAGUAGAGACGGGGUUUCACCAUGUUAGCCAGGCUGGUCUCUAUCUCCUGACCUCGUGAUCCGCCCGCCUCUGCCUUCCACAGUGUUGGGAUUACAGGCGUGAGCCACCGCGCCUGGCCCGCAAGCAUUCUUUAAAUUCUUGCAUUAAACCUAUAGUUUGAUGGACAUUUGGGUUUAGCGGACUUAAUUGACAAAGUAGGUACUGUGUGUUGGGAUAUAAAAGACUAAUAAUGGAACUGUGGAAAGAAUAUUCAUUUGAGUGCUUCAGGAAGUUUGGAUUUUUUUUUUUUAAUUUUUUUUUUUUUUUUUUUACCAACAUGUUAUUUGUAAAAGGAGGGAAAUCAGCUACCUCAGGAGGUUCCUAGCAUAUAGGAAUGUAGUUAUCAGAUUCAAAGCUGAACAGUAGUGUGUUGCCCUGUAACCUAAGUCUUGGCUGUUAGCAAAGAAAAGCCAAUGUUUGGGGUGUUGGUUCCAGGACUUUCCACUAAUAAGAAAAUCCCAGGAUGUUCCAUCUCUUAUAUAAAUGUAUUUGCAUAUAACCUAUGCACAUCCUCCUGUAAACUUUAGAAGACUACAUGUUUGGUACACAUGUUUAUUUUUCCACUGUUGAAUCCAUGGAUGUGGAACCCACUAUAUAUAGUAUUAGGGGUUGAUCACUGUAACCUGGAAUGGGGGAUACUUUUCAUCUUUGGCUGCGUUGAGUGCUUAACAAGGACAGAACUGGGCGUUUACCUAUGCAUGCACAUGUAUUGCAGGCCCUGGCCAAUGUCAACAUUGGGAGUCUCAUCUGCAAUGUAGGGGCUGGUGGACCUGCUCCAGCAGCUGGUGCUGCACCAGCAGGAGGUCCUGCCCCCUCCACUGCUGCUGCUCCAGCUGAGGAGAAGAAAGUGGAAGCAAAGAAAGAAGAAUCCGAGGAGUCUGAUGAUGACAUGGGCUUUGGUCUUUUUGACUAAACCUCUUUUAUAACGUGUUCAAUAAAAAGCUGAACUUUA
rnacentral:sRNA from 1 species